UCUGUUUGCAAACUCUUGUUUCAUCGUUUAAGCGAUUAAAUCUCUCAAGUAGACACUGUCUCUUUAGAUGUGAGGGCAAAAUAGCACUUUAUGGACUUCCACAGAGGACAUCAUGUUUAAUACGGUUCCGGAAAAAUCCAGUCAGAAGUUGUUCACGGAGUUUUCACAAUAACUGCUUCUCAUGAACCGAAGCUGGAUUUGCGCGACGUCUCCUCCUGAAAGUUGGAUUACCGUGCACUUCUGGAUCACAGGCUAUUCGCAGCUGGACACAUCCUUCUACACUGUAUGCAAACAUGCAACAUCAUUACACACAGUACAAGGAGUUAGACUGGCAUAUGAGGAGCAAAGGAACCCAGGCAGUAGCAUCGUUUCACAAUGUUUCCAUCACCAUCAUCAGUGGAUGCCUUUGCCGUCCGUAGCCUGAGAUUUCAGAUUUGCAGCAAAAAAUUAGAUU